rnacentral:rRNA from 1 species
AGCCUCCCGCAGAAAUGGGAGGUCACGCCUGCCCGGUGGACGAAUCAGUCUAAACGGCCGCGGUAUCUUGACCGUGCAAAGGUAGCAUAAUCAUUUGUCUUUUAAAUGGAGACUCGUAUGAACGGCAAAACCUUCUCCAACUGUCUCCCCCGCUAUCCUUAGAAACUCUUAUCUAGGUGAAGAAACCUAGAUAGCCUAGAAAGACGAGAAGACCCUGUCGAGCUUCAGUCCGAAAAGAUUAAACAAUAAAGAAUGCUACAAGCACCAAGACAACAAUCCUAGAAGACUUUGGUUGGGGCAACCAUGGAGAAAAACAAUACUCCAGUACGCGCAGAAGACGUCACGUCACCGCACAAGAACAAAAUGAGAACCAGAAACUGGCAAUCGGAAAAAGUUACCGCAGGGAUAACAGCGUAAUCCUCUCUAAGAGUCCUUAUUGACGAGAGGGUUUGCGACCUCGAUGUUGGAUUGGGACCUCCAUAGGGUGCAGAAGCUCUAAAGGGUUGGACUGUUCGUCCAUUAAAGUCCUACAUGAUCUGAGUUCAGACCGACGCAAGUCAGGUCAGUUUCUAUCUUCUACCAGGUCUCCUUAGUACGAAAGGACCAGGAAACCCCUUUCAAUGGAAUCCUCUAAAAAGAACUUGAACAACUAAAACUUUUCCUAAAACCAUAACGAAAAACCCGAAACCCAGACCCUAAGAAAAACCUUCGUGAAAAGGUUCCAGUAAGACUUAUAGUAAGAAGAAGAAUGUUUUAAUUCUUUCCACAGGGGGUCCCCUUACAAUAUUUAUUUAUAAAUACAAACC